rnacentral:lncRNA from 1 species
UCAUAUCCACGUCAAUUCGGAUACGAUGCUUAUCAACUCACCAACAUCAACGUACACGGAAUACUAAAAAAACACAGUUCUCUUUUAAUUCUCAAUUUCUAGCUACCAUUCACCAAUCAAUCGAUCACGUACCAUGGCGGCGGUAGCGGUGGCAAAAGCUAGGAAAUGGAGCGAAACGGCGAUGUUAGUGAUCGACAUGCAGGUAAUUAAUUACUUGGAUUCUAUUUAUAAUCAAUCAUCAUUGAUCCCAAAUUCACAAAUCACAAUAAAUACCUUCGAUCCGCAAAUUCGAAUGAAGAAAGAAUUUAUACUCCCCGGACGUCGACUACACGUCCCUGGAUCUUCAUCAAUCGUUCCCUCCGUAAUCACUGCCGUUUCCACCGCAAGAGACCGAGGCAUCCCGGUGAUUUGGGUAAGAAAUAUUUCGUUCCGUCCAUAGAUUUGCGUAUUUGCCCAUUUGGUAUAUUAUUA